rnacentral:rRNA from 1 species
UGGGGAAUUUUGGACAAUGGGGGCAACCCUGAUCCAGCCAUGCCGCGUGAGUGAAGAAGGCCUUCGGGUUGUAAAGCUCUUUCAGCCGGGAAGAAAUUGCACUCUCUAAUACAGGGUGUGGAUGACGGUACCGGAAUAAGAAGCACCGGCUAACUACGUGCCAGCAGCCGCGGUAAUACGUAGGGUGCGAGCGUUAAUCGGAAUUACUGGGCGUAAAGCGUGCGCAGGCGGUUUGAUAAGAUAGGCGUGAAAUCCCCGGGCUUAACCUGGGAACUGCGCUUAUGACUGUCUCACUAGAGUACGGCAGAGGGGGGUGGAAUUCCACGUGUAGCAGUGAAAUGCGUAGAGAUGUGGAGGAACACCGAUGGCGAAGGCAGCCCCCUGGGCCGAUACUGACGCU